rnacentral:rRNA from 1 species
AUUGAACGCUGGCGGCAGGCCUAACACAUGCAAGUCGAGCGGAUGAGUGGAGCUUGCUCCAUGAUUCAGCGGCGGACGGGUGAGUAAUGCCUAGGAAUCUGCCUGGUAGUGGGGGCAACGUUUCGAAAGGAACGCUAAUACCGCAUACGUCCUACGGGAGAAAGUGGGGGAUCUUCGGACCUCACGCUAUCAGAUGAGCCUAGGUCGGAUUAGCUAGUUGGUGAGGUAAAGGCUCACCAAGGCGACGAUCCGUAACUGGUCUGAGAGGAUGAUCAGUCACACUGGAACUGAGACACAGUCCAGACUCCUACGGGAGGCAGCAGUGGGGAAUAUUGGACAAUGGGCGAAAGCCUGAUCCAGCCAUGCCGCGUGUGUGAAGAAGGUCUUCGGAUUGUAAAGCACUUUAAGUUGGGAGGAAGGGCAGUAAGUUAAUACCUUGCUGUUUUGACGUUGCCAACAGAAUAAGCACCGGCUAACUUCGUGCCAGCCGCCGCAGUAAAAC